AUUGAACGCUGGCGGCAGGCCUAACACAUGCAAGUCGAACGAGUGGCGGACGGGUGAGUAAUGUCUGGGAAACUGCCCGAUGGCGGGGGAUAACUACUGGAAACGGUAGCUAAUACCGCAUACCAUCGGCUUUGCCCAGAUGGGAUUAGCUAGUAGGUGGGGUAACGGCUCACCUUGGCGACGAUCCGUAGCUGGUCUGAGAGGAUGACCAGCCAGACUGGAACUGAGACACGCUCCAGACUCCUACGGGAGGAAGCAGGGGGGAAUAUUGCACAAUGGGCGCAAGCCUGAUGAAGCAAGGCCGCGGGUAUGAAGAAGGCUUUCGGGUUGUAAAGUACUUUCAGCGAGGAGGCGUUACUCGAAGAAGAAGCACCGGCUAACUCCGUGCCAGCAGCCGCGGUAAUAC
rnacentral:rRNA from 1 species